UAUGUACAAUUCGGCAACAGAUAGAGACAAUCCCUGCCCAUUGACGGGCUCACAGUCUAACUGGGGGAGACAGACGGACGAAAACAAGACAACAUAAUCACGAUAAAUAGAAUCAAGGGGUUGUACACCUCAUUAACAAAAUAAAUAGGGUAAUAAAAAUAUAGACAAAUGAGAAAAAUAUGGAACACUUCACGAAUUUGCAUGUCAUCCUUGCGCAGGGGUCAUGCUAACCUUCUCUGUAUCCUUCAGAGUAUAUGCGCUGCCGAAGCGAGCACACUUUUCCCUCCCUCAGCGCAAUCGCAGAAAGAAAAGCACCUACAACCUCGAACGAAGAUGAAGAGUUAAUUCAUUAUGGCCCAUCUCUGGCAGAUAUUGUAAAGCUUAACGAUGUAGUUGAUAGCGACUCUGAAGAAAGAGGACUUUUAUCAGGCAUGUGGAGAAUAUAUUUUAAAAGCCUGGUCCAGAGGGACGGAUACACCUGGAGGAAGAGAUGAGCACUGCUGACCUCCACGGCUAUUUGAGAAUUCAGAAACAGUAACGCAUCUACGAGGGUCCCAAGGGUAUCCGUUCGGCUUCUGACGCUGCUCAACUCGGGCUGCUUUUUCGAACUCGUCCCUGUCUUUCAAUUACCCACAUGUGGAAGUGCUUUGACCCUCUCCCCUCCUUCCCCCCCCCCCCCCACCGCCUAGAGUUUCCUCAAAGAUUUUAACCCCGAGACAACCGAACACCUUAUCGAAUCUGAAAAACAAAGCCGGCUAUUAUGUCAAAAUCGUUUUAAAGAUUAUGCUUUCUGCAAUUAAGCCAUAAGAGAGUCCUCUAUUAACUCCCACCGGUUACAAAUAAUAGCAGGACGAGAGAUAGCAAUAAACUCUCCGCGUCACCGCAAAUAAUGCCCCAAGACGCGGAAACGAAACUGUGGCAUGGGUAAGAGAUGUGAAUAUAAAGCCCAAGAUCUUUCCGUCAGAGGCUUCUGAAAGCCCCGCGCACCGUGAAAUGAUUAGAGCCGCAUCCGACAGAUCCGAUCGAGUCCAUAAAACCAAAGUUGGUUUAUGAGAUACAGCUCAACAUGGCAUAGGAUUAGAUGAUGGGCUUGGGAGUCAGAAGGUCAUGGGUUCUAAUUCCGGCUCUCUUUGCCGCCGCGUGACCUCGGACAAGUCGUUUCACGUCUCUGUGCUUCAGCCUCAUCUGUAAAAUGGGGAUAGAGACUGCGAGCCCCAUGUGGGACAGGGGCUGUGGGCAACCCAAGUUGCUCAUAUCUACCCCAGCACUUAAUACAGUGCCUGGCACAUAAUAAACGCUUAACAAAAACCACAAUUAUUUUUUUAUUAAGUUGGGGGAACUUUAGGAUCGGCAUCGCAAUACACUUUUUUUAAUGGUAUUUGUUGAGCACUUACUAUGUGCCAGGCACUGUGUUAAGCACUGGGGUAGACAGAAGCUAAUCAGGUCGGACACAGUCCUUCUCCCAUAUGGAGCUCACAGUCUUAAUCCCCAUUUUACAGAUGAGGGAAUGGAGGCCCAGAGAAGUGGAGCAACUUGCCCAAGUUCCCACAGCAGACAAGCGGCAGAGUCAGAAUAAGAAGCCAGGUCCUUCUGACCCUCAGGCCCGGGCUCUUUUCGCUCGGCCACGCUGCUUCUCGGCAGUUGAAGAAACCGCGGCCCUGGAGCGCUCCAGAGACACGUGACAGUCAGGGGACCGGCCCGUCACCGACUCGACAAGAGGAAACCAGGAAUUCUCAACAGCGGAGCGGUCAACCGGAAGAGCGCUUGUAGCCCAAGGAUGGUCUCGGGAAGUGCAACGAGGGAAAUUCCGCCGGAAAGCACCCCGAGGCCGGAGCCGCAUCCGGCGGUCCCUCGGUGGUGGAUUUUCGGAUUCGCGAUAUCACCUUUUCAGGGCGGGCUGGACCCCCACCUGGAGCCCCUCCCAGCCCCAGCGUCCGCUUAGCCGCCGGCAGCCCCAGUUCCGCCUCCUCGGCGGCCUGUUGCUCCUCCGCCUCUCCGGGAAAGCCCCGGCAGCCCUGAGUCACCCGAGAACCUUUCUAGUCCUUCAAGUGCAGCUGCUGUCUGAGGGCGCAGAUGGU
rnacentral:lncRNA from 1 species